rnacentral:tRNA from 1 species
GGGGGUAUAGCUCAGUGGUAGAGCACAUGCUCAGCAUUCAAGAGGUCCUGGGUUCAAUCCCCAGUACUUCCA